rnacentral:rRNA from 1 species
CCUACGGGAGGCAGCAGUGGGGAAUAUUGGGCAAUGGGCGCAACCCUGACCCAGCAACGCCGCGUGAGGGAAGAAGGCUUUCGGGUUGUAAACUUCUUUUCUCAGGGACGAAGCAAAUGACGGUACCUGAGUAAUAAGCCACGGCUAACUACGUGCCAGCAGCCGCGGUAAUACGUAGGUGGCAAGCGUUAUCCGGAUUUACUGGGUGUAAAGGGCGUGUAGGCGGGGACGCAAGUCAGAUGUGAAAAGCACGGGCUCAACCGCUGGCCUGCAUUUGAAACUGUGUGUCUGGAGUACUGGAGAGGCAGACGGAAUUCCUAGUGGAGCGGUGAAAUGCGUAGAUAUUAGGAGGAACACCAGUGGCGAAGGCGGCCUGCUGGACAGCAACUGACGUUGAGGCGCGAAAGCGUGGGGAGCAAACAGGAUUAGAUACCCGUGUAGUC